AGUCAUGGCUCAUUUCCAGAAAGGAAAAGAGAACAGUGAUUAUGAAGAACAGACAGGACACAAUAAAAGGUUGAGGAGCUGAACACAACACAUGAGUUAGAGGAAAACAUAUUAUUUAAUUCUGAAAUGGUGUAAUAAACCAACUUCUCAUGGACUGGAGAUAACAAAGGGAGGUGGCAAGACCCCCCCACAGUACAGAAGAAACAGAAGAGUGAAAUGUGUGAUAAGAGUGAAAAAUAUUUCCCCUGGAGUAACAUCACUACUUCCUCUGCUCAGAACAAGUAACAUGAAGCACCUGGAGACAACUGUACAUCUCUUCUAAUAAAUAAGAAGUUUGAAUCUAAAGUCAGUUUUCUGCAAAGGACAUGCAAGUGGUUAUCUGCAAGGAGAAGAACUGCAUCCUCAUUCCUCUGUGCUAUAGAAAAAACAUGAAGACACUCCUCAUGAAUUGUAUAAAGGCUUGCACUCCACUCCCAUGUCUUGGGACCACUGGCUUUUUUCAGCACGGUGUGCGGUAUAUAAGAGAUUACACAACACAGUCUCAGUGCAGGGGGCAGAGCAGGGGCUGUCUUGGGGUUAGAGUCCAAGUGAAAGAGAUCAUCCUAUAUUCCUCCUCCUUUUUGGACGCCUUCUGCAUUCAAACCUAUUUCUCAUGGAUAUUUCAUCUUGGAUCUUUGCUGUUCUUACUUCACCCUGUGUCCUCCUAGUCUUUACUGGCCUCUAUCUGCAUGACUGCAUCUUUAGACUGAAGAAUUCAAUCUUGCUUUUAUUUUGUAGGUGGGGAUAAUAGUGGUUUUAUUGCCAUCAAUUACAAUGACAUAACUGAACAGUGACUCGUUGGUGCACCAGAAACCUGCUUUAAAUUUAAUUAAUAUUCUCCUCCCUUCUGUUUUCUAUUGCUUAGUCUUUAUUCUUAGACUUCUGACUUCCUCCAGAAUUAUUCAUGCUGCUUUGUUGUGUGUUCCCCUCUCUUGCCCUUUGUCAUAUCCAGGGUUCACAUAAAACCUCUGAGGAGUUGCAGGCCAUCCACAGGGACUGUAACUGGGAUCUGCACAGACAAAAGGCUGCUGGUGUUUUGGUUUUCCUCCUGUCUUCUCCCCAGCUAAGUAUGGGAAGGCAAAUGUCAUGCUCUGCUGGGCAGCCGGGAGUCAGGUGCAGGAGCCAGGGAGGCACUGGUGGGGGACUUGGAGCUGGGGCUGACAGGAAUCCCAGCACUUUAUUUUAAAACAGCAUUCAACAGGGAAAUAUGUCAGGAUGGCUAGGACACCAGUGUCUCCCUUGUAAACUGGAAAAUGAGAGAGGCUAGUGGCCAUAGUAAUCAAGGUGAUAGAGUUGGAGCUUAAGUGGUUGCCAGAUUUUCUUAGCUAUUAAUGAAAUGCAUUAAGGUACUGUUGUUCAAAUGAUAGUUCAUGUUUCUGUAAAUGAUUUUUGUCCUAAAGCUUGUUAGCUGUUGUGCUCUCCUUUCUUUCGGUAGUUUGUCUCUGCGUGUAAUGUAUAUUUACAGACUGUGUUUAUAGUUAACAGGCUUUUCUAGAGGAAAUAAGCAUGACAUAUUCACAAGAAUUUGCAACUAUUCAAAGCCAGCUCUAAAUGUGCAAAACACCAGCUCUGGUGAAUAAUUAUGGUCACCUCCAACCCCGUUGCUUCAAAGAUACGAAGUGAGGAAAGAGCAUUUUGAGCAAGCCAUACACUGUGUCACGGCAACAUGACUCAGAGCUGAGAUGCUGGGAAGGAGAAAAGGUUUUCUUAAGCAGAAGAUGUGUUUCAGCCUUAUGAGUAUUCACUUAUGUCUCCUUCUGACUUACCUCUUACCCUGUGUUGCCAGCCAUGGAGUUUGGCUUGCAGGGAGGGCAGUGUUUGCAGCAUCUCUUGCCUGGAGAUUGUACUGGUGUCUGGUCUGAACAGAUUGACUCUAAGAUACUUGCUUCCAUAGAGAGGUCAUCUGGGAACAAGGGGUCUGUCUUGCUCUAAAUUGCUCCUAAGGAGAGUGUAAGGCUCCCCAAGGCGAAAGACACUGGUCAGUGUAUGGGUUGCAAGGAAGAACCUCAUCUAGAUGGACAGCCAUCCUCUAGACACACACCUAUGAAAGGCAUCCAUGUGUGUUUGAUUUCCUAAUACCUAAGUGAUGGCAUUAUCUUUACUGCCUUUGUCCUUCAGAAAGCCUGUUGGGACAUUAGUGUCUUGCAGUCCCAAGGCUUGAUCAACUACAGCUCAGAUAUGAUUUAUCAAAUGCUGCACAAGGUAUGUCUGUGCAGCAGAGUGCAGUGCUCUAUAGAAAGAAACACAUCCAGCUCUGGUACAUCUUUGGCUUUCAUCCCCACAGUAGAGCUAUUGAACUGGAAAAUGACUUUUAAUGGUGUCCUCUCUGUGUAUGUGUGUCUCUUUCCAACAGUGCCAGUAGAUGUUCCCAGUGUUCAUGGAUCUGCAGAUCUUCCUAGCAUGGAUGUCCACAACCUCCUGCAUCCUUCAAACUGUCCUCAGAUGUAUAGUAAGGGACCAUUUCUGUCUUCCAGAAGCUUAUUGUGUGUGUAUCUUGCUGAAUUCAUCAGGAUUUACUGUAGGAAGUGUAAUAACAUUAAAACAGUAUUUGGGCAUUUCUGAAUGUGGGCCAUUUGAACCUGGACCUGGAAAGCAGACAUCAUUUCCUUACAGGACCAUUUCUAAGGAGUUGUGUUCUCAGAAAUGUUUUUUCCUGGGAACGCACAUAAUUUGUGAGUUAUUCAGCUAUCAAGGUAGUUUUUCUAAGACUGUAACUAUUUGCGUCAAGCAAUGGUAAUUUGUUCUUCUCUAGCUGAUUGGAUCUGUUGUCUUCCAGUGCUUGUGCUCACCCCCAUUCAUUCAUACUGUGUUAUAGGCCUGUUUCUGGAGGACGCUGAGUACCUGCGGUUUGAUUGAAAGUUAUUGCAUCUCUCAGGAGUAAAUUUAAUUUGAACGAUACCCUCUAUAACCCAGUAUGAUAUGAUGCAUUAGAAAAUAAAGCAAUAACAGAGUAUCUACAAGCCAUUUUUCCAAUCUGAUUUGAGGAAAAGAAAUUGUAGCAGAGAAAACCUCAGAAAUAAACUGUUUUUUGUUCUUUAGCUAAUAUAGAAGUUCCUUGAAUCCUGAAAACUAAAAAGAAAGAGAGAAAAAAAAAGAAAAUUAGGCAUUGGUCAUAAACAGCCCUCUGUCAGCUGUUAGCAACUGGGAUUGGUGUUUUGUUACCAACGUUAUUUCAGGUAAAUGAGAAGGCAGAAUUGUAAACAAAGGAAAAUGUUCAAUCCCUGAAGUGAAACGUGGGCUGACAUCUAGCAUUUAUAGCUUGGUACAUUCUCAUUAAUCUAUUCUGUUAAAUAUUUCUUUUCUUUAACACUGACUAAAAAAGAAUACUAAUUUAACAUUUCUCUGCUGUUUCUAAGUGUUAUGUUAUAUUUGAGAGUUUACUUGCUAAUAUAUUUUUCUUUCCAAAGAGCUCAUGCAGUCUUCACUUGGAUCAUGCCGUGGAAAAGAAUCACUGCAUUUCUUAAACUAUUAACAAAUACUUUAAGUGAUGAAAACCCACCGAAGCCAGUAGGAAACACAAUCCAGCAAUUACACAGCAGCAGCAACCUGGCUUUUUUUCUGAUUUCGAGUCAGUGGAAGAGUAGUAGUCAUUGUAAUUAUGUCUUUAAAAAAUACUUAAUAAUGUUUGCUUGUUUCUGACAUACCUGAAGACUUGUCCGCAGAGUCUGAUGCUAAAAAAACCCUGUAUACUCCAAUAAAAUGUAUUGUCAACCUCAGAUUCAUAUAAAACAUUUUUAAUGAUGUACUGGUAUUGUUUUGGCCACAGUGUUUAUAUCAAAAAGGACAUGGGGAUGAAGAGAGUACUACUUAGAACUUAGUGUAAAGAUGCAGUAGAAAGACUUACAGUUGUAUCCAUAAUUUUUGAGAUUUGUUACUCAGCUCAGUCCUGUUGAAGCACUGACAGAAAUUCCUUUGUUCUCAACAUGAUCCAGCCUGUGUGUCCCUUUUCAGUUUAUGUCUGGACUGGUAGAAAAUCAUGAUUAUGAAAUUUUUAUAGUAAAGCUGUUGUAUACAUGGUAUUUACUGCAAAAUCCAAGUCUUGUAAGACAAUAGGAUUCAAAAGGUUCAAAGCUAGGUUUUCAACUGUUAUUUCAGGGUCAGAUUUUCAAAAGAUUUUAAAAGUCAAUGUUGCAGAAGUGGUGGGGAAAUAUGGCCUUAGCCUGGCACACUAAGAUCUUUUAUACCCUGGUCUAGCUGGACUGAGGACCAACAGUACUAAGAUCUGUUAAGUGGGCUGUGUCACUAACAAUGAUGUAUUCUGCUAUCUACUGAAAGAACUGAUUUUCAUACUUCAUUUACAGUUAGCACUUAUGUAAUGGCUGUAAAUUUUUGGAUGAGAUAUUGCUGAAAAUAACUUUUAUUUUCUAACCAUUUAUCUUUUGAGAAAUUUUAAUAAACUA